rnacentral:rRNA from 1 species
AUUGAACGCUGGCGGCAUGCUUUACACAUGCAAGUCGAACGGUAACAGGCCGCAAGGUGCUGACGAGUGGCGAACGGGUGAGUAAUACAUCGGAACGUGCCCUGUAGUGGGGAUAACUAGCCGAAAGAUUAGCUAAUACCGCAUACGACCUGAGGGUGAAAGUGGGGGACAGCAAGGCCUCAUGCUUUAGGAGCGGCCGAUGUCUGAUUAGCUAGUUGGUGGGGUAAAGGCCGACCAAGGAGACGAUCAGUAGCUGGUCUGAGAGGACGAUCAGCCAAACUGGGACUGGGAAACUGCCCAGACUCCUACGGGAGGCUGCAGUCGAGGAUCUUUUGCAAUGGGCGAAAGCCUGACAAAGCGACGCUGCGUGGAGGAUGAAGGCCUUCGGGUCGUAAACUCCUGUCAUCUGGGAAAAACAAUUGCCUGGGUAAUACCCAGGCGACCUGAUGGUACCAGAAGAGGAAGCCACGGCUAACUCUGUGCCAGCAGCCGCCGUAAGAC